GACGAACGCUGGCGGCGUGCUUAACACAUGCAAGUCGAACGGGCCUGUCUUCUUUUUUGGGGGUGGGUUGAGUGGCGAACGGGUGAGUAUCACGUGAGUAACCUGCCCUUCGGUCCUGGAUAACCGCUUGAAAGGGCGGCUAAUACGGGGUGGUCCGGUUGGUCCGCAUGGGCUGGUCGGGAUAGAUUCACUGUUUUUGGUGUUUCGGCGGGGGAUGGGCUCGCGGCCUAUCAGCUUGUUGGUGGGGUGAUGGCCUACCAAGGCGGUGACGGGUAGCCGGCCUGAGAGGGUGGGCGGCCAGACUGGGACUGAGGUACGGCCCAGACUCCUGCGGGAGGCAGCAGUGGGGGGUAUUGCACAAUGGGCGGAAGCCUGAUGCAGCGACGUCGGGUGAGGGAUGGAGGCCUUCGGGUUGUGAACCUCUGUUUCCGGUGGUGAAGGCCCUGUCCGUGUGGUGGGGUUGACGGUAGCCGGGGAUGAAGCGCCGGCUAACUACGUG
rnacentral:rRNA from 1 species